UACGUAGGGUGCGAGCGUUGUCCGGAAUUAUUGGGCGUAAAGCGCACGUAGGCGGAUUUUUAAGUCAGGGGUGAAAUCCCGGGGCUCAACCUCGGAACUGCCUUUGAUACUGGAGAUCUUGAGUCCGGAAGAGGUAAGUGGAACUGCGAGUGUAGAGGUGAAAUUCGUAGAUAUUCGCAAGAACACCAGUGGCGAAGGCGGCUUACUGGUCCGGAACUGACGCUGAGGUGCGAAAGCGUGGGGAGCAAACAGG
rnacentral:rRNA from 1 species